rnacentral:rRNA from 2 species
AGGGUUUGAUUAUGGCUCAGGACGAACGCUGGCGGCGUGCCUAACACAUGCAAGUCGAGCGGGGAUUAGCAUUUGAUUUAUCAUAUGCGAAGUCCUAGCGGCGGACGGGUGAGUAACGCGUGAGCAACCUGCCUAUUAGAGGGGGAUAACACAUCGAAAGGUGUGCUAAUACCGCAUAUGGUAUUUGCUUUGCAUAAAGCGAAUAUAAAAGGAGCAAUCCGCUAAUAGAUGGGCUCGCGUCCCAUUAGCUAGUUGGUAGAGUAAAAGCCUACCACAGGGCCGACCGAUGGGUAGGCCGACCUGAAGAGGGUGAUCGGCCACAUUGGGACUGAGACACGGCCCAGACUCCUACGGGAGGCCAGCAGUGGGGAAUAUUGCGCAAUGGGGGAAACCCUGACGCAGCAACGCCGCGUGAAGGAAGAAGGCUGGCGGGUCGUAAACUUUUUGUCUUCCGGGAAGAAAAAAAAUGACGGUACCGAAGGAGGAAGCCACGGCUAACUACGUGCCAGCAGCCGCGGUAAUACGUAGGUGGCGAGCGUUGUCCGGAAUUACUGGGUGUAAAGGGUGCGUAGGCGGGGAUGCAAGUCAGAUGUGAAAGACCGGGGCUCAACUCCCGGGGCUGCAUUUGAAACUGCAACUCUUGAGUGCAGGAGAGGAAAGCGGAAUUCCUAGUGUAGCGGUGAAAUGCGUAGAGAUUAGGAGGAACACCAGUGGCGAAGGCGGCUUUCUGGACUGUAACUGACGCUGAGGCACGAAAGCGUGGGGAGCGAACAGGAUUAGAUACCCUGGUAGUCCACGCCGUAAACGAUGGAUACUAGGUGUAGGGGGUAUCGACCCCCUCUGUGCCGGAGUUAACACAAUAAGUAUCCCACCUGGGGAGUACGACCGCAAGGUUGAAACUCAAAGGAAUUGACGGGGGCCCGCACAAGCAGUGGAGCAUGUGGUUUAAUUCGAAGCAACGCGAAGAACCUUACCAGGGCUUGACAUCCGCAGAAUUCUCUAGAGAUAGGGAAGUGCCUUCGGGAACUGCGAGACAGGUGGUGCAUGGUUGUCGUCAGCUCGUGUUCGUGGAGAUGUUGGGUUAAGUCUCCGCAACGAGCGCAACCCUUAUCGUUAGUUGCCAGCAUUAAGUUGGGCACUCUAGCGAGACUGCCGGUGACAAAUCGGAGGAAGGUGAGGAUAACGUCAAAUCUAUCAUGCCCCUUAUGUCCUGGGCUUACACACGUGCUACAAUGGCUGUUAACAGAGGGAAGCGAAGCAGUAAUGUCGGAAGCGAAUCCCCAAAAGCACUUCUUCAGUUCUGCGAAUGAGUCCACGACGCGUAACAACUCGCCUGCAUGAAGUUGGAAUUGCUAGUAAUCGCGGAUCAGCAUGCCGCGGUGAAUACGUUCCCGGGCCUUGUACACACCGCCCGUCACACCAUGAGAGUUGGUAACACCCGAAGCCUGUGAGCUAACCGUAAGGAGGCAGCAGUCGAAGGUGGGGCUGAUGAUUAGGGUGAAGUCGUAACAAGGUAACC